rnacentral:rRNA from 1 species
GACAGAGGGUGCAAACGUUGUUCGGAUUUACUGGGCGUAAAGCGCGUGUAGGCGGCUUGGCAAGUUGGAUGUGAAAGCCCACGGCUCAACCGUGGAAGCGCAUCCAAAACUGCUUCGCUCGAGUCUCGGAGAGGAAGGUGGAAUGCUUGGUGUAGAGGUGAAAUUCGUAGAUAUCGGGAGGAACACCUGUGGCGAAAGCGGCUCACUGGACCACAACUGACGCUGAGGCGCGAAAGCUAGGGGGGCAAACAGG